GAUGAACGCUAGCUACAGGCUUAACACAUGCAAGUCGAGGGGCAUCAGUUUGGUUUGCUUGCAAACCAAAGCUGGCGACCGGCGCACGGGUGAGUAACACGUAUCCAACCUGCCUCAUACUCGGGGAUAGCCUUUCGAAAGAAAGAUUAAUAUCCGAUAGCAUAUAUUUCCCGCAUGGGUUUUAUAUUAAAGAAAUUCGGUAUGAGAUGGGGAUGCGUUCCAUUAGUUUGUUGGGGGGGUAACGGCCCACCAAGACUACGAUGGAUAGGGGUUCUGAGAGGAAGGUCCCCCACAUUGGAACUGAGACACGGUCCAA
rnacentral:rRNA from 1 species